GCUCCGUGAAUUGUAUGAAAACAAACCGGAAUUGUACGGGAAGAGGAAAAAGAAGGGUAAAAAAAGCGGUAGUGGAAAAGGAGGGAAAUUCAUUUUAUCGGCCUAUUUGAGUGCCACACAGGGUGGAAGUGUGAAAAUAGAUCCACGUACUGUGGAUCCAAAUUCACCCAAGUUUUUGGCUGCUUCUCUUAGAUAGAAGAUGACUAUAAUUUAAGGUACCAACAAUCAAUAUGUCCUCUAGUGUAUUCUGGUAAUGAGCAGACCAUGCGGACAAUCGUCAAAGAA
rnacentral:ribozyme from 1 species